rnacentral:rRNA from 1 species
GAUGAACGCUAGCGGGAGGCUUAACACAUGCAAGUCGAGGGGUAAAUGGUAGCAAUACUAUGAGACCGGCGGACGGGUGCGUAACGCGUAUGCAACAUACCUUGUGCAGGGGGAUAGCCCGUGGAAACGCGGAUUAAUAUUCCAUAGUCCAGCUAUAUCGCAUGGUAUAGUUGGUAAAGAUUUAUCGGCACAAGUUUGGCAUGCGUCUGAUUAGCUUGUUGGUAGGGUAACGGCCUACCAAGGCUACGAUCAGUAGGGGUUCUGAGAGGAUUAACCCCCACACUGGUACUGAGACACGGACCAGACUCCUACGGGAGGCAGCAGUGAGGAAUAUUGGUCAAUGGGCGGAAGCCUGAACCAGCCAUCCCGCGUGAAGGAAGACAGCCUUACGGGUUGUAAACUUCUUUUCUGUCAGAAGAAUAAGCUUGUCGAGACGAGUGAUGCCGGUAUGACAGGAAUAAGCAUCGGCUAACUCCGUGCCAGCAGCCGCGGUAAA